UGCAGCCUCAGGCAUGUUUAAUAACGAAGCAAGACUCUGACCAUCAGAACAGACAGCUACUGAGAUGCACCAGCACUUUUCCUCACAUCCAGCUCCUUUCUACCUGCUGUUGUUGGGGUCAUAUGGGGAAGCUCCCCACACAUGGGCAGACCAGCAAUCAGAGAACUGGACCAGAAUCAGGACCGGGUUAUAACCCUCAAAGGCCCACCCCUAGUGAUCUGCCUCUACUGGGAUCCUGAUCCAUAUGAUAAAGGAAGCAUAUUGCUCUUUCUGAUCUCCUGGGUGAGAUAAACUCAGCCCCUUGGGAAACCUCUGCAGGAGGGCCUGUGGCAGGAUCUCGUCUGGAAGCCUCUGAAAGCCAAUCUCUCUUCAGAGUCAAUGACAAUGCAACAUGCAUUCUCUGGCCAUUCGAGGUGGAUGGCCAUCUCUACACAGCAUCCCUCUGAAGUCUAGCAUCAGACAUCAAGAGCCUUGGACCAUCUGUCCUGUCAUCAAAAUUCCCGGAGUCCUUGGCCAAGGUGAUAGAGCUGACCAGCCAAGGACUGAAUCCUCCAAAAUCAGGACCUAUCUCUCCAUGGAUUGACCCAUCCCUCCAUGAGUUGAUGCUCCCAGAUAAGCCAUGACCCAUCCCUCCAUGAGCUGAUGCCUCCAGAUAAACUGUGACCCAUCCCUCCAUGAGCUGAUGCUUCCAGAUAAACCAUGACCCAUGCUUCUAUGAGCUGAUACUCCCAGAUAAACCAUGGCCCAUCCCUCCA